UUCAAGCUGGAUUCUUUCAGACUUGUGCAACAUCUCUAGUAAUCAUGACUUAACUGUUACAAAAGCCUGGUGCAACACCCAUUGAAGUCAGUGGAAAGAAUUGCAAAAGAGACUGAGUCCAAGUAAUGGGAAUGCUCAAAUCGCAUGUGGAGAAAAGCCCCAGAAUGGAGUAACAGCAAACCCUGGCACAAUGGAGUCUGAUUCCUUAGCUUCCAAGAUCUAAUGUGAAAAAACAGGCUGGCUAUGAAGUCGCACAACCAACAUUGUUACGGUUGCAUUUAUACCUCCAUCGGGAUUAAGGAAAGCUGUGUGCAACACAUCUGAGCCGUAAAAUAAAUGUCCUUUUCUAAAAGA